UCAACACAAUGCCAACAUGUAUAUAAAUUUUUACACAGCGGAAAUAUAGAUAUACAUGGCUUGCACGAGGGCAAGCAACAUCAACAGUGAAAGUUCUACAACUAUUUCAAACAUACAACCAUUUACAUCUUUCAUUCUUUUCUUUUCUCUUUACAUCACAUAUACACAUCACAAGUCUUUCAUCAAUGUCAUUUAUACAUUAUUUACAAUACAACCAAAA
rnacentral:lncRNA from 1 species